CAAUUUUCAACCUAUUUUUGUCUUUUGUAUAUAUUUAUUAUUUAUUAUUUUAUUAUUAUUGCUUUAUUUAUUUAUUUUUGUUCUUUCUUUUAUUUCCUUUGGUUUUUUUUAAUUCUUUUACCUCUUGUAUUGAUAGUGUGUCUCUUCCCUUUUAUUAUUUCUUUUACCUUUUUUAUUGCUUUAUUUUUUAGUUUAUUUUAUUGUAUUUUUAGUUGAUGCAUAAUUGUUAAUCCAAAAAGAGAAAAUUACCAUUAAAAUUAACAUUUCAGAAAUACUAUGAUAAAAGGUAUUUGAUCGACAUCACGUACAUUUUUCAAAAUCACACUAAGAUUUUUUCUUUAAU
rnacentral:lncRNA from 1 species